GUUGAACGCUGGCGGCGUGCCUAAUACAUGCAAGUCGAACGAACGGACGCGACGCUUGCUUCUCUGAUGUUAGCGGCGGACGGGAGAGUAACACGUGGAUAACCUACCUAUAAGACUGGUAUAACUUCGGGAAACCGGAUCUAAUACCGGAUAAUCUUUUGAACCGCAUGGUUCAAAAGUGAAAGACGGUCUUGCUGUCACUUAUAGAUGGAUCCGCGCUGCAUUAGCUAGUUGGUAAGGUAACGGCUUACCAAGGCAACGAUGCAUAGCCGACCUGAGAGGGUGAUCGGCCACAUGGGAGGUGAGACACGGUCCAUACUCCUACGGGAGGCAGCAGUCGGCAAUCGUCCGCAAUGGGCGAAAGUCUGACGGAGCAAGGCCGCGUGAGUGAUGAAGGCGCUCGGAGCGUAAAACUCUGUUAUUAGGGAAGAACAUAUGUGGAAGUAACUGUGCACAGCUUGACGGUACCUAAUCAGAAAGCAACGGCUAACUACGUG
rnacentral:rRNA from 1 species